AUUGAACGCUAGCGGCAUGCCUUACACAUGCAAGUCGAACGGCAGCGGGGGAGCUUGCUCCCGCCGGCGAGUGGCGAACGGGUGAGUAAUACAUCGGAACGUACCCAGUAGCGGGGGAUAGCCCGGCGAAAGCCGGAUUAAUACCGCAUACGCCCUACGGGGGAAAGGGGGGGAUCGCAAGACCUCUCACUAGUGGAGCGGCCGAUGGCUGAUUAGCUAGUUGGUGGGGUAAAGGCCUACCAAGGCGACGAUCAGUAGCUGGUCUGAGAGGACGACCAGCCACACUGGGACUGAGACACGGCCCAGACUCCUACGGGAGGCAGCAGUGGGGAAUUUUGGACAAUGGGCGAAAGCCUGAUCCAGCAAUGCCGCGUGUGCGAAGAAGGCCUUCGGGUUGUAAAGCACUUUUGUCAGGGAAGAAAUCGUUUGGGUUAAUACCCCGAGCAGUUGACGGUACCUGAAGAAUAAGCACCGGCUAACUACGUGCCAGCAGCCGCCGCGG
rnacentral:rRNA from 1 species